UCGAGAAUCUUCCACAAUGGACGAAAGUCUGAUGGAGCGACGCCGCGUGAUGGAUGAAGACCCUCUGGGUCGUAAACAUCUUUUAUGAGGGAAGAAUUUUAUUGACGGUACCUCAUGAAUAAGGAGCUUCAAAUCUCGUGCCAGCAGAAGCGGUAAUACGAGAGCUCCGAGCGUUAUCCGGAAUUACUGGGCGUAAAGGGUGCGUAGGUUGUGAUGUUAGUCGUUCGUUAAAACUCGAGGCUCAACCUCGAAUGUGCGAGCGAAACGGCAUUACUUGAGAGUGUGAGGGGUGCAUGGAACUCAUGGUGUAGGGGUGAAAUCCGUUGAUAUCAUGGGGAACACCAAAAGCGAAGGCAAUGCACUGGCACAUAUCUGACACUCAAGCACGAAAGCGUGGGUAGCGAAUGGGAUUAGAUACCCCCGUAGUCC
rnacentral:rRNA from 1 species